rnacentral:rRNA from 1 species
AUUGAACGCUGGCGGCAGGCCUAACACAUGCACGUCGAGCGGAGCGGCGGACGGGUGAGUAAUGCCUAGGAAUCUGCCUGGUAGUGGGGGAUAACGUCCGGAAACGGGCGCUAAUACCGCAUACUAUCAGAUGAGCCUAGGUCGGAUUAGCUAGUGGGGGGGGUAAAGGCCUACCAAGGCGCCGAUCCGUAACUGGUCUGGGAGGAUGAUCAGUCACCCCGGAACUGGGACACGGUCCAGAAUCCCACGGGCGGAAGCAUGGGUGAAUAUUGGACAAUGGGCGAAAGCCUGAUCCAGCCAUGCCGCGUGUGUGAAGAAGGUCUUCGGAUUGUAAAGCACUUUAAGUUGGGAGGCGUUACCAACAGAAUAAGCACCGGCUAACUUCGUGCCAGCAGCCGCGGUAAUAC